rfam:Saccharothrix sp. NRRL B-16348 P442contig120.1, whole genome shotgun sequence.
GGUUUCGGGUGCCGUGAGGCCUCGGUCCGCUCGGCUUUCGGCCCUGGCGCACCUUCCCCGGCGCCAGGUCCGACGGGCGGGCGGGGACCUGACGACACCCGAAUUUCUUG